rnacentral:rRNA from 1 species
GCGACAGGCUUAACACAGUGCAAGUCGAGGGGCAGGCACGGGAGUAGCAAUACAACUGGUGGCGACCGGCGCGACGGGUGAGUAACGCGUAUGACCAACCUACCUAUCAGGAGGGGAAUAACCCGGCGAAAGUCGGACUAAUACCGCAUAAAACAGGGGCACCGCAUGGUGAUAUUUGUUAAAGAGAUUCGCUGAUAGAUGGGCAUGCGUUCCAUUAGGUAGUUGGUGAGGUAACGGCUCACCAAGCCGACGAUGGAUAGGGAACUGAGAGGUUGGUCCCCCACACUGGUACUGAGACACGGACCAGACUCCUACGGGAGGCAGCAGUGAGGAAUAUUGGUCAAUGGGCGGGAGCCUGAACCAGCCAAGUCGCGUGAAGGAAGAAGGAUCUAUGGUUCGUAAACUUCUUUUGCAGGGGAAUAAAGUGCAGGACGUGUCCUGUUUUGUAUGUACCCUGAGAAUAAGGAUCGGCUAACUCCGUGCCAGCCGCCGC